rnacentral:rRNA from 1 species
UGGGGAAUAUUGGACAAUGGGGGCAACCCUGAUCCAGCAAUGCCGCGUGAGUGAGGAAGGCCUUCGGGUUGUAAAGCUCUUUCGCACGCGACGAUGAUGACGGUAGCGUGAGAAGAAGCCCCGGCUAACUUCGUGCCAGCAGCCGCGGUAAUACGAAGGGGGCGAGCGUUGUUCGGAUUUACUGGGCGUAAAGGGCGCGCAGGCGGCGAUCUUUGUCAGGCGUGAAAGCCCCGGGCUUAACCUGGGAACUGCGCUUGGGACGGGAUUGCUGGAGACCGGGAGAGGAGAGUGGAAUUCCCAGUGUAGAGGUGAAAUUCGUAGAUAUUGGGAAGAACACCGGUGGCGAAGGCGGCUCUCUGGACCGGAUCUGACGCUGAGGCGCGAAAGCGUGGGGAGCAAACAG